UACGGAGGGUGCAAGCGUUAUCCGGAUUCACUGGGUUAAAGGGAGCGUAGGUGGGUUGGUAAGUCAGUGGUGAAAUCCCCGAGCUUAACUUGGGAACUGCCAUUGAUACUAUCAGUCUUGAAUACUGUGGAGGUUAGCGGAAUAUGUCAUGUAGCGGUGAAAUGCUUAGAUAUGACAUAGAACACCAAUUGCGAAAGGCAGCUGGCUACACAAUUAUUGACACUGAGGCUCGAAAGCGUGGGGAUCAAACAGG
rnacentral:rRNA from 1 species